UCAUUUUGAAGCCUAACUCGUUUGUUUUAAGAUUUUCAAAGAGCCAAACUGCACCAGUUUUUUCUCGUUAUCUUACUGUGGACUUCUCAACUCAUUUCAUACUGGAUUUGGCAAAAACACUCUCAGUUCAGCUGCUGUCUUCAAAUUGGAAUGCUGUGACAAGACACCUUGUUGCCUUUUCUGCUUUGUCCUGCACAGAGGCUGCUGUCGUGUGGGUCUUGUGAUUGUUGAUGGUUAUUGGUUUGUCUUUUCAUCCACAGCAGAGCUCAAAAUGAGCACAGCUUCCCCACAGAGCGAGUGCUAUGAGCAAUGUAGCAGUUCAUCUGCUUCAAGAUCUUCUUCCCACUACCAGAGACUACUGUGAUACAAUGACUAGAACACAAGACAGAAUAUCAGCAUUUGAGAGAUGGGGUUCCAAUGUUAAGAAGAGGGUAUCUGAAGUGGAGGCUAAGUUGUGAUUUGGCUGCAAACAAUAAGAAAAAUUCUGAGGAUCCUUUGUGUUGUGAAAAGCAGAGGAAUCUUGACUUUAUGGAGUGAAGACUUAAAGAAAUUAUCAGGAUGAUCUUCAUUUUCUCCUCAGUUUGACUGAACUUUGGACAGUUUUUCCUGAACACAGACUCCUUUCAUCUCUUUUCCAAGGUAAGUAUUUACUUCAGCAAACUCAAAUUGCAAAUGUUUACUCUGUCCCUUUUAAAAGAAUCUUGCCAGUUUUGUAAUUUAAGAAUGUCUGUGUUAGAAAUCUAGGUUGGAUACCUUUGAAAUGUGCCCAUCAAGGAUGACAGUCCUCUAAGUUUGUGGGACAAUAGAAGCCUGACUUUAAUGGACACCAAAUUCACAAACACCAAAUGCUUAAUAACAGAGAAAAAAAUUGCAAACUUAAGAAUAACUAUCCUAUCCCAAAGAUCAUACUCCCUAGCAUUCUCCAGUGUGUUCCCAGUAGCUCACCCCAGCACUUACAAUCUCUCCUGACUUUUCCUUUAGUAGACUUGGGUUCAGUCUUUCUCCUCUAUUGUAGUAGCCUUGAUUGAAAUCUUCCUUGCUUAUUUAAAUUUCUUGAGGUUUCUUUUGCCUACUUAUGCAGCUUUUUACUUAAUACUCUAGGCUCUGAUGCUCUUCUUCAGACAUGUUCCAAACCUAUCUGUAUGAUUGGCCAAAUUGUUGCCAAGUCACACAAACCUUAUAAUCCCUUAAAAUCACCAAACAACUAAACGUUUAUAAAAAGUUAAAUAACAUGAAAAACUACCAAGUAAAAAGGGGAGCCCCAUCUUACAACUCUUUUCCUCCAAUCUCAUUAGUUCAAUGAUUUGCUAGAAACAUGCAGAAUUUUGUGUUGAUUUGUUUUGUUUUGUGAAAAUUUAGAAUCAUGCUAAUCAUAUUUGUCUCCUUAUCUUUAUGCACUGAUAUAUCUUAAAUAUGUUUAAAUUUUGAAGUCUUGUAAAAUUGAUACUUUUGAAAUCAUUCCGUGCCAGACUCCCACAUUAAAUGCUGGUCAAAAGCAAAGCACUUAUCCAAUUAAAAUGUUACACACAUCAUCAUAACAUUCUCUGAAAGGAAUGCUACCAAGCUUCAACAAAAAAAUGUAAUUCCUUGUUUUAUGAACAUUCACUUUGAAUAGAGUUUUCUCUUAGGGCUUUUAAAUUUCAGGUAACUUUAGUAGAAAUAGAAAGAUUUUUAUUAAACUAUAGAUGAACUAGUUGAAAAAAAUGGGCUUAUUUGACAUAUUGAUCAUAAUGACAGUUGUUCAACACAAUAAAUAGUCAAAAAUGAGUAUUUCUUUCUAGUCAUUGAUUUUCAGCUAUUUUGUGAAUCAAAAGGAUGCAUUUCUAACUUUUAUGCACCUUGAAGUAUUUUAAACCUUUCAUCAUUUGUGAAAUUGAUGGUGGGGGGACUAACAUUUCUUUUUUAUGAACUCUGGAAAUGUUUGGGAAUUUUUUUGUUUUUAACUUAUCACUAAAUGUGCAUUGAGACUGCAUAUACUUCCUUCUGUAGCUUCAAUCUUGAAAGCAGAAAUUGUUUUAAAUUAUAAUUUAAUCGUAUGUAAGGAUAAACAUUAAGCAUAAAAUAUUACUGAAAUAGUCUGCAUAAGAUCAAAAUAUAUAUGCAAUGGGAAAAGAUGAACACAUGAUUAAAAUAAAUGAAGUGGACAUCACUAAUAGAACAUGAAUCAAUUUUAACUUUAGAAAAUAGAAAAUGUUAUUCAAGUUGUUUUUAAAAUUUAGAAAUUUGCAUUGAAACAGUCACCCGGAGCUAGAAAUAAAAUAAAAAUUCAUAAACACAGACAAAACAAUCAUAUGUUUAAGAGCCAAAAUAAAAAACAGAAAGGUAGAAAGAUAUAGAAAUGAUAAAAUACGUAAUUUGAAACACCUCUAUAUAGACAAAGUUAGUAAUAUAUGCAUUAACACAUAUUACUAUGUGAAAAUACAUUUGCCAUUUCAGGUUAUUUAUUUAUGAACCUAUCAAAUACUUGAUAUUUAUUUUUGUAUAAAUCACUUAGCAAUUAGUAUGCAUGAUACCUAAUUGUCCAAAAAUAAUCCUAACUGUAUUUGCUAUUUCUAUGGAACUAAUGAGAUCGUCUCUAACAUUCAUGACAGGAAAGAGGUAUACACUAGGAUCUCCGUAGGAGAAACUUUGCCUACAUUUGAAAUAUUAUUUGAAGUAAUAAAACGGAUUUAAUUUUGGUCUAUAAGUUGAAUUGUAUCUUCAUAGACAGAUGGUGUCAGAAGUGGGAUCUGAAGUAGAGUUUCCAACGUCCCCAAGGAGGACUGAGUGAUGACGUGAGGUAGCCACAGGACCCAUUUGUGUCUGUUGGUCUCUUGGGGCAGCAAGGGCUCCUCAUAGGUUCUCUGUUGUAUUUCAGGGCUUCACAGAUUUGCAUUUUGAGCUCUCUGGGUUUCUUUGAGCAAAUUUAUGUUCCAAACUGGGUUUGGAAGUUAUGACAUAAACUGGACUGGAUCUGGGAUCAGAUCUGGUGCAGUAAUUAACUGGCUUGGAUCCAGUUAGAGGCCUCUUACAUCUGACUGGGUCAGAAAGAAACUGAUAGUAAAUGCCAAUAUUGCAGGGGGUGUAAAAUUUGGCUUUUGGAAACUCUCAGGAAUUUUUGUGUUCUACCCCUUUGUUUCAUUUUUCUUGUGCACUUAGGUAGGAAAAAGUCAAUCAAAUGAACCACAGAGCAAAGCCAGUAUCUUAGGUAAAAAUGGAAUGUUAGUUUCUGAAGAACGGAAUUCCUUCUGGCUUAUACAUGACGUAAGUGUUAGGCCUCAGAUGUAGCAAAGUCUUACAGAAGUGGUGAAAUCUUACUAAAGGUAACUUAAAGUGGAAUGUUUCAAAUGAACAAAACUGCACUGAAGUGUAUUUGAAAAUGAGGGUUCCCAAAUUAUUCUCAUCUAGGGAUGUCUAUUGCUAAGCAGAAACUUCUAAAAAGAUUUUGGUAUUUUCAUUUGAAGACUUUAUGAAAGGCAAAUAAAAAGCUUAAGUGACUAAUUGAUAAAGAAAAUUUAAACCUGUUAACAUUUUAGCUUAGUUUCUAUCCAGAUCCAAAGGAAAUAGACUGCAGCACCAGUUGACUGACAUGGAGUAAGUAAUGGGUACAUUUUACCUGGGUAAAGAAUGGGAUUGGGUUAGAGGUUCUCCUCUCAGUAAAAUCUCUCUUGGUUAAGAAUGGAUUUGACACUAUGGGAUUUUAACUGCUAUUCUCUUUGGAUUAAUCCCCCUUGUACUUUUUGCUGAUGUCUGUGAGUGAGAGGAUUAGGCAUGUUCAGGAUCAUUAAACAUGGGGACAUUUUUCUCCCCAAAAGGGGAAACAUGAGAGUUAAUGGAACUACUGUAAAAGAUCUCUUUGCUACUGACAAAUGACUACCUCUCUUUCUCUCUCUCUGUCUCCCUUUCUCACUCUAUCUCUUCGCAAACUGGUUGGGGAAUGGUAAAAAUCACUAUCUCUUACAAAGUUUUAAUUAAUGAGAAAAAGUAUUUGAGGGGCUAAUCUUAAGCUAUAGUAAAUCUAGUGUAUGUUGUGCUUUGAAUUUGUCUUUUUAUGUUGUUCUGUCAUAGAGAGGGGUGCCUUAAAAUAGAUAGAACAUGGGCUUAGGACCCCAUAAGCUUGCUGUUCAAGAUGGCCCAGCAACUGGUCAGUAACAAACUAUGCUGCAGGUCCCUGAAAUAAACAAAAAAACUGGAUGAAGUCUUCAUCUUGUUUUAUGUCCUUGGAAGCUUGGCUUUCUAGCCAUAUGGCAGUACUCUUCCUUGGUCUUUGCCAUCUGGGGAACAGGAAUUUCGGGGUUCAUGUUAUGGUAAAGUCUAAAAAUUAUCUUGUGUAGUUAAAAGACAUUGCAGGCUCAAAAUUGACUGCCCUAGUCUUUUUCUGGGAAAGGCAAUGAAAACUGCCCAGUGCUGUAGUUCAGCAGCUAAGGCAUUGCCAUUUUACAAUGGUGGCUUGGGUUAAAUCCUGGCUUAGGGAAAGAGUCCUUUCUGGUUGGAUAUCUGUGUGACCUUUGUUUUGAUUCUUUUCCCCUCCACAAACCAUCUUGAAUUUUUCUUUUUCUAAGCUACCUUUGGAGAUUCUAAGUCUUAUAAAAAACUGUUAACCACCUCCUUGAAAAUACUUCAUGCACUCGUGGUUAAGUCAUAACCUUAGUUGUUGCCUUGUUGCUUUCACCUGUGAGGUUACAUUUGGUAAACUUUAAAAGCAGAAAUUGGCCAUUUGGCCUGGCUGGAGUCGGGUAAUAAAAAAUUUAAAAGGACUUUUUUAAAAGAGCGCUAUGGUUUAAAAGUCAGCUUAAUUAAAAGUGGAUAUUCAAGUUAUGUAUAUAUUUAAAAGGACUUUAUGAUUUUUUUCUCUUCUUAAAUCUUGUUUUUCUGGAAAAAAGUUUCUUUCUUCUCGGUUGACUGAAUUGUUUGUAUCCAUUUUUGUCUUGCUACUCUCAAUGCAUAUGAAAGGACCUAAGAUAAUUUCUAAUAGCCUCAGACUCUUGGGAAAAACAGAAGAGGCACCACAGGUCCUGUUUUUGGAAAAACCUCUGUUUUCCUCAUAAAACCCCAGCAAUUGAAAGCAGAUAGAUCCCUUUCAUAAACUAAUGGUAAAUAUACUUUAGGGAUGGCUAAUGGCAGUUAUAGGAGAACACUUAGCUCUUUGCACCUUUAGAUCAAGGAAGCAUGCUUCUGCCCACCUAGAAAGUAUGGAAAUGUCCCCAGUCCCACUGAGAUAAGGCUGCCAUGGGCGAUGGGAUAAUCACAGAAUGGGCUGAUAAGUUUUGGGUUGCUUUGCAAUAAAAUGCAUGGUAAAAGCAUUGCACUGUCUUCUUCCAUGGAACUUCCCUCUUUUGAGGAUACCGUAUGAGAUAUAUAAAUGGGAACCUUAAUUUGGGGUAUCUGUGUUUUCCUUCCAGCUGUGCUUGCUUAUUAGGCCUUGGAAACUUCAUGUUUUCCUAGCUAUGUUCCUCCAGGGACUCCACCCUACAGUGAGUAAUCCAAUUAAGAAACUUACAGACUGGCAAAUGAAACACCCUACAACUUCUGGAUCUUCUUCUGUCUUUCUGUGUUGUAAUAUAUGUAUUGUGUGUGUGAUGCUUACAUGAAAGAGUUCUACUUAAUUGGCUUAAAGAAAAAUAAGUGCUUUAAUAUUUUGUUAGAAAAAUAAAAACUAAUACCUUUUGGUUCACGUCACCUUAGUAAGCUUUUGAAAAUAAAGAGUUUUAAAGAUUAUUGGUCAAAUAAAGACAUUGGUCUAAAUUAGGCAGGUAAGAUAUUAGGUUUACUAAUUGCUUUAAGGUCAUAAACUGGUUUGACUUCUGAAAAUUGUUCAACUUAAAUGCUUCAGAGCUAUUAGAUUCCAAAUAAGACCUGGGGACAUGUGGCAUUACCUAUGCCCCCAGCUAUGCUGAAAAGAGUCAGACCUCAUCUGCACUUCUGCAUGGUGUCUUGGGCUCCACAGCUAGUACAUAAUAAAGCAACUUACCAGGUUAUUCACCAAAAUUAAAAAUUGCUAAGAGUUACCAUUAUAACAUGUAAUUGAAACUGCUGAAGAAACAUUCUUACAUGCAAGGUGUGUGAGGAGAGUUAAAGGUGUUUUUGGUAAAAUACUAUAAGAAGGCAAAGGAAUGAACAUUUUUGCCUCAUUUAGAGGGCUAAAGGAUAGUUUUAAAUUAGGUAAGAUAAAGCUAAAGGUUUGAGCAAGUUGUGGAAGGUUUGUAAAAAAACUAAUCUUAUAAAAUAUAUCACAUGUAUGAACAUAUUGGUUAAAUUUAAAGGGUUUUUACUUUAAAUUGAACACUGAAAAAAACCUCAACAUGGACUUCUUAGAGCACUGAUCAACUCUUUAACAAAAACUUGUAAGAGGUCAUAAAAGGCUUAUCAGAAUCUCACCUUAUGGUCAGACUGAUUAAGAUUGAGUCAAUUUGUCUGUAAGGUUUUAUCAAAGACUGGCAUUGGCAUUAAUAGUACACUAAUGAAAGGAUGAAAUUUGGCUUUCUCUCUUGAACGAAGUUUUCAUGUAAUAUUAAAUGAUAAUGAAAGAUUUUUCUGUGCUAUUUCAAUAAACUCGCAAAAAAGGGAAAAGACAAGAGACUAAUUGUUUGAAAAGCUGUCUUCCCUCUAUCCAUGAGUAAAGGUUUUUAUGUUUUUAAAAAAUUUUUGAGUUAUAGUUUUGGUUAAAUGAAUUACUUAUGGUAGCCUGGAAUUUUAUUUUAUAAUAUCAAGUAUUUUAAACAUUUAGCAUAUUUGAUAGGCUUCCUAAAGUUAAAUUUCAGCUUCAAAAUGGUCUUUUCUGGCCUCUAACUUUGGGAUACUACAGAGGGCCCCUGAAACAUCCAAAAGAGAGGUAACAGGAUUAUCUGACAUGUUAAGUUACAUGGAAACCACUAUCAAAAUAAAAAAUAAUGUUUAACCUUCUUCAGUUUAUAUUUUAGUAAUUGAUAUUAAUAUAUGUUCCAAAAUUAUAUGGAAUUUCUGAAGUUCUAAUUUCUGAGUAUAUGCUAUCAAUCAUAAUUAUAGUUAUUAUGUUAAGUUACUGUAGACCACAGAAAUAACAUUUCCUUGUCAAUUGUGUUUUUAACUAUGAUUAUUUAAAGACAUCUCCACAGUUAAUUGUUUAAUGCUGAUACAGAUUCAGAAAACUUUACAAGCACACCAAAUCCUAGAAAAUAGUGUUUUUAGGAGGUUCAUUAAAGAAUAUAAUGGACCCUGAAAAGCAUUCUUGAAUACACGUUCCUAGUAACUUUAGAAUCCUAUCAUUCAGACUGGGUAAAAAUUCCUGGGACUUUAAUGAAAAGACUGACUGGUUUAUAAACUGCUACCCAAGCAGAACAAAAAUUAAUUGAAUAUCAAGAAAAUACUCUGCCAGGUGUUCAUAUUAAAUCAGCUAAUACCAAAAUUAUUUAGAUAUACAAUUUAAAUAAACUGCAUGGUCUAAGUCAAAUUGCCAGUGAUAACCCAUCACUCAUCAGUGCUAUGCACCUAAACUGGAGAAACAACUGAUAUUCAUGAGGACAUAAGUUAAUGUUAAUUAAGCAUGAACCAGGACAAUCACCUUCUCUUUCCCAAGUCCUUACAUCUUUUGUUAUUAAAGGUUAUGAAUUCCAUGGCUCAUCAUGAAAAAGAUAAAGUGAUCCAAAUUAAAAAUAUAUUGGUUAGAUGACUUCUAAAUUGCUAAAACAGUUUAUGACUAAUGUUCUGUUUGUCAAACCCAUAUUCCUGGGAAGACAAUCAAAGCUGCAAGUACAUUUGACUACCUGAUAAACCAUUUAAACAAUUAUAGAGGGAUUUUGUUUAAUUAUAAUUUUCAAUGCAUGUUUCUGGUUGUAUAAAAGAUUUCCCAUGCAAGCAGGGUGAUGUUAUAAUAGAAUAUUAUUAUCCCACACUGUAUUUUCACCAGAUAAAGCUUUUUAUAGUUCCCUGACUGAGGACAGUCAACACUUUUGCUGUCUAGAACACAAAGAUUGAAUUUUCUGAGAACAUCAGAAGCUGCCCUUGCCAUCUACACUGUGGCAAAACCUCAAGACCUUGAAACUUAGGUUCAUAAUCUCACAACUGAAAAGGGUUCCUCCACACUCUUGGAACUAUACACCUAUUAGUGUACACCAUUUUAAAGUAAAACUAACCAGGGAAGUUUCUCCCCAGAAGAUGAUGUCAUCCUUGAUGUGAACAGUGUUUUCCAAGAUCAUGGAUCAAGACUUCUGAACAAUCAUGAGACAUUUAUCUUGAAUAUUUUUGCCUUGUUUAUGCCUCUAUGAACAAAAGAAGUGAAAAGGUGGUCUGUUGUGUGCACUUAUGGGGUACAUUUUUAUUUGUAAAGGAUUUUGCAGCCAGCCUUAUACAUGGAUAUCUUCAUUCCUUGAUAGAUGAAAGAGGAAGGUCCAAUGUAGGUGAGAAACUUUAAUGGUGCAUAUUUUGCCUUAAAAUCAGUCAGAAACAGAACAUUGAUUCACUCCUUUUUUGGGUCCUUUUGUUAGGUCCUUUUUUAUGGGUUGGAGUAAAAGAAGCAAUGAUUAGAAAUGUAUCCUUCAUGAUAGGCUUUAUAGCAGAUUCUACUGUAAAGGCUAUGGUUACAUAACAGACUUUGAAUUGUCUUGUGAAAGCUAUGCUAAAUAAUAGAAUUCUCUAGAUUUCUUACUGACUAAACAAAUCUGUGCAGCUGCUGUAUUUGUGGCCUAUGGAAAAAUAUCUCAAAUGUAGAUUAUAGAGAUUUAUUUGUAGGGGAUUAAUAAAGAGACUACUUAGUUAAGUAACUCUUAAAGACCCCCUUAGAAUCUUUAAGCUAGAUAAAGAGCUUCAUCUUUGGCCGGGUGCAGUGGCUCAUGCCUGUAAUCCCAGCACUUUGGGAGGCCAAGGUGGGUGGGUCUCAAGGUCAGG